rnacentral:rRNA from 1 species
AGCGAACGCUGGCGGCAGGCUCUACACAUGCAAGUCGAACGCCCCUUCGGGGGAGUGGCAGACGGGUGAGUAACGCGUGGGAAUUUGCCUUUUGGUGGGGAAUAACGCAGGGAAACUUGCGCUAAUACCGCAUAAGCCCGUGAGGGGAAAGAUUUAUCGCCAAAAGAUAAGCCCGCGUCUGAUUAGCUAGUUGGUGAGGUAAUGGCUCACCAAGGCGACGAUCAGUAGCUGGUCUGAGAGGAUGACCAGCCACACUGGGACUGAGACACGGCCCAGACUCCUACGGGAGGCAGCAGUGGGGAAUAUUGGACAAUGGGCGCAAGCCUGAUCCAGCCAUGCCGCGUGAGUGAUGAAGGCCUUAGGGUUGUAAAGCUCUUUUGUGUGGGAAGAUAAUGACUGUACCACAAGAAUAAGUCCCGGCUAACUUCGUGCCAGCCGCCGCCGUAA